rnacentral:rRNA from 1 species
UCCUACGGCCAUACCACCCUGAACACGCCCGAUCUCGUCUGAUCUCGGAAGCUAAGCAGGGUCGGGCCUGGUUAGUACUUGGAUGGGAGACCGCCUGGGAAUACCAGGUGUUGUAGGCU